rnacentral:lncRNA from 1 species
AGUUCUCAUUGUGGCUCAGGGGGUUAAGAACCCAACUGAGUGUUUAUGAGGAUGUGGGUUUGAUCCCUGGCCUCACUCAGUGGGUUAAAGGAUCCUGCAUUGCCCAAGCAGUGGCAUAGGCUGUGGAUGUGGCUUGGAGUCGGUGUUGCCAUCGUCAUGGUGUAGGCCUGCAGAUGCAGUUCUGAUUCAGCCCCUAGCCUGGGAAUGUCCAUAUGCCACAGAUGCGGCUGUAAAAAGAAAAAAAGAAAAAAACGUGCAUUUUAGUGGCAUUUAGUACAUUCUCAGUGUGUUAUAACUAUCACCAUUAUCUAUUUCCAGAACUUUUCCAUCAUCACCAAAGGAAAUCAUGUCCCCAUUAGCAGUCACUCCCCAUGAUCCCUCCCCGGGCCCUUGGCAACCCCUGAAACCGAGCCCUAGAGAGUUAACAGAAGCAAGUGACUAACAGGGAUUCUUGAGCUUGUCUUGCAGAGCAACAGAUAGGGGAACAGCUUAUUAAAAUCCCUCUGCUUAUAAACUCCCUUCACUGAUUAAACUUGCUUGCUUCAUUCAUUCAUUCAUUCAUUCAUUGUCUUCCCUUUCAUUGCACACCUUCCCAGCGUCACGUAGCCCCAUUGUUUUACUGGAACUUGGAAUCAGCUCUUGUCUAAGAGAGUUGACUGAGGCUGAUUGGGACCACUGACCCCAAAACUGGGCCUGCUCAAGUGUUGAAUGAAUGGCCUUUUGACGUCAGAGGACCAGAAAACUCCACUCUCUGAUCAUGCUAAGUGCCCCCAUUUUUGAACAUGCAGAAGCAUGUAACCCAGAUACGCCUGCGCAGAACACCGAUUACCUCCCUCUUUUUCUCUACUUCCCAUCCUUUUCCCCACGCCCAAGACCACCCUGCUUAUCCCGUAAAUAUCCCAACCCCCUUGCCUUCGGGGAGGCCGAUCAAGUCCUUCUCCUUGCUUGGCUGCCUUGUGAAUCAAUUCUUUCUCUGAUGCAGACCUCAGCAUCUCAGUGUUUGGCUUGCUGUGUGUCAGGCAAGUCGGACCCAGUUCAGCAACACUGGUAUAACAUGCAUGUACAAGUUUUUGUUUGAACACCUGUUUUUUAGUGUUCUUGGGUAUAUACCAAGGAGUGAAAUUGUUGGGUCAAGUGGUAAUUUUUUGUUUAAAUUGUUGAGAAAUAUUCUCUCUUCUUUUCUUUUGUUUUCUUUUUUCUUUUCUUUUUCUUUCUUUCUUUCUUUCUUUCUUUCUUUCUUUCUUUCUUUCUUUCUUUCUUUCUUUCUUUCUUAAUUUUUUUUGUCUUUUUAGGGCUGCACUCGAGGUAUAUGGAAGGUCCCAGGCUAGGGGUCGAAUCAGAGCUCUUCAGCUCGGAUUCCACCCCUAGCCCAGGAACUUCCAUAUUCAGCCCUAAAAGGCAAAAAACAAACAAAACAAAACAAAACAAAACUCAAAAAACAAAAAAAACCCCAGAAGUUCAUGGUGACUAAGCAGAUGUUGAAGCAAGAAAAAUGCAAUGUGAAAAUGGUAGGAAAGCUUUGUGGCAUUUCUGCUUGUCUUUGACCCACCCACUUUGCAGCUCAGCAGAGGUCUUAUAGCAGAAGUAACCCAGAACAUGACCCUGGUUCCUGGAUCUGCAGGGAACAGAGCAGGUCUUAUUCACAGAUUAUUGUGUAGGUCUAUUUUAACCUGUGUGGAGGCUUCCUGAAGCGCUGAUGUGGGUGCUUUCUUCUGAAUUGUCUAACUUGCAGCUCAGGUUGGAAAAGCGGUGGGCGUUGUUCCAAAAGUACUGCAAGCGGAACCAACCACGUACAGACAUUUAGGGCAAAAGAUCAUGGUCAGGGAGUUUCCUUUGUGGUUCAGCGACUAAUGAACCCAACUAAGAUACAUGAGGACACAGGUUUGAUCCUUGGCCUUGCUCAGUGGGUUAAGGAUCCGGCGUUGCCGUGAGCUGUGGUGUAGGUCAUAGACAUGGCUCUGAUCCUGCAUUGCUGUGCCUAUGGCAUAGGCUGGCAGCUGUAGCUCUGAUUCGACCCCUAGCCUGGGACCUUCCAUAUGCUGCAGUGUG